rnacentral:lncRNA from 1 species
AUGCACGACCAUGCACAACCACAUACAAUAGUGCGGGGCAGUGCGCAGCUCCAUACAGCAGGGCAAAACCGACCGAGCACAGCGGUGCUGAGCAAUGCACAACCAUGCAGAGAGGUGCACAGCAGUGCACAAGCACGCGCAGCAAUGCACAACCACGCGCAGCAGCGCCAAGCAACGCACACAACCAUGCGCAGCAACGCACGACCACGCGCAGCAGUGCCGAGCAAUGCAUGGCCAUGCACAGCAAUGCACCAUCCUGCACGGCGGUGCCGAGCAACGCACGACCACGCGCAGCAGUGCCGAGCAAUGCCCACAGCAAUGCACGACCACGCACAGCAAUGCACAACCACACGCAGCGGUGCUGAGCAGCGCACGGCCACGCGCAGCGGUGCACGGGAGCCCUCGCGUGGCAAUCCCAGAUCCUCUCCGCUCCCAGCACCCGGCCGGGCACUGCACCGGGGGCCAGGUCCUGCACAGCGGUGCCGCUGCAUCCUCCCCACGCUGCUGGGUGCGCCCACCCCAAGGCUCUCUGCAUUCGCGCUGCAAGCCCUUAGGGCGGAUGUUUCCCCCCUGCAGCAGAGCCGAGCCCCUUCCUCGGGGCAGUUUGGACCCCCCCGGCCCUGCCCCGACGUGCAGAGGCGUUGCACGGUUAUUUACACGAUGGUUUACGCAGCGCUCAGCACCCGUGGUUUUUCUUUCAAGGCCCGGAUCAGCCCUUUGCUCUGCGGCCCCCCAGCUCCCUGCCCUGCUGGGGGGGCCACGGGGAAUUCACCUCCCCCCAGGGAGAGCAGCACGGCCGCGGGGGCAAACCAGGGCACAGGGGCUUCCCCCACACAGCCUACGGGGGAUGUGCAAAUAUUUCGCCUUUGGAAAGAAAUGGGAGCAGUAAAAUUGCUUUUUCUUUUUUUUUUCUCUUACCUGUGCCACGCUCAUGAGGAGCAGUUUUUGCUGGUGUGGUCUCCAGUUAUAACAACAGAAGGGAUUUUUUUUUCCAGUAUCCCAAAGUCUGCUGUGCACAGACACCUCCUCGAGGCAGCCAAACCUUCAGCAGCAUCCCCCAAAUUAAGGCACGUUAAUGCCUUUUUCCCACAUCUCAGCCACCUCUUUCCCUAA